rnacentral:misc_RNA from 1 species
GGCAGGGAAAGCCGGCGGCCUCAAGGGCGUCGCCCUCAUCGGCGGCGCCGGCGGCAACAGCGCGGUCGCCGGCGCCCUCCACUUCUUCCAGGACCCCUCCACCGGGUAUACCGAGGUGAGGGGGAGGGUCACCGGCCUCGCUCCGGGCCUCCAUGGCUUCCACAUCCACUCCUUUGGCGACACCACCAACGGCUGCAACUCUACCGGGCCCCAUUUUAAUCCUCACAAUAAGUCCCAUGGGGCACCAUCUGAUGAUG